GGGUGGGGGGGCUGAAGCAGGGGAUUCUGGCCUUACCAACGAUACAAUUGGGGUGGCCAUGCCCCUUUGAUAGGGGGGCAGGUCUCCAGGGAAAUGGGGAAGGGGUGGAGACCAUGGGGUGCUUUUGUAAACAGCUUCACAAUGGGGCCCGGACCCCUGGGUUCUAUCCCCGGCUCCAGGAGGGCGUGGGGGGGGUUACUGGGGUGGAGGGGAGGGCUGGGAGCCCGGACUCCUGGGUUCCAUCCAGGGCUCCUGUAUUCCUGCUGUAGGCCUUAAAAGCAGGUUGGACUCUUUCUUUAAAGCCAUGAUUGUUCGGGGGGGGGGGGGGGGAGGGUCUCUCUGUCUGUCAGUGUCUGUCCGUCCUCGUCAUGUGACAUCCUCACCAAGCACAACAGCCUGAGAUGGGGCCGGGGGGGGCAGAGGAGCUGGGGGGGCCGGGGCUUCUUGCCCCACCCCCAGGAACUCCCCUGCCAUGGGGCACCUCCAGGCCCAGAGGGGGCGAAUGGGGCAAAUCCGGAUUUCACCCUCCUGCCCGCCAGUGCACCAGCCCCUCGGAUGCCCCCAGCACUGGGGGUGCUGCCGGGGUGGGGAACGCUCACCCCUCACAGGUGGGGCCACAGCACCCCCCCCGGCAUUGGAGAAGCCGGACCCUGAAUCCCCUGGGUUACAUUGGGAAACAGCUUCCCUGUCACGGCCUACUGGCGAGCAGGGACCCCCCCCCUCAGCGAGGGGCCAGGGGUCCCCCUAUAACCCACCCCUACCCCAGAGGGGCCGUGUCCUGCACUGGGCCAGGGGUCCCCCUAUAACCCACCCCUACCCCAGAGGGGCCGUGUCCUGCGCAGGGCGAGAGGGUCCCCCUAUAACCCACCCCCAACCCAGAGGGGCCAUGUCCCAGUGCCAGGUGAGGGGUCCUUGUAUUACUAGACCCCAACCCACACCAGCGGGGCCGCGUCUGCAGCGUGGGCAUCUCCUCCCCGAUCCUCUCUGAGCCCCCCCACUUCCCUGACUUCCCUCCAGAUCCUCAUGUCCCCCCAGCCCCCCCCUUUGUCCGUAAGAACCCCCCGUUGGGUCCCAACCCUGUCUCUGGCUCGAGGUUAUUUUCUAGCGUGUGUGUCGGGGGAGGGGAGAAGGGAAACGAAUGGGAGAGAUAAUAAUUAAUAUAUAACUGGGGUGGGGGGAGGGGGCUCUGUGGGGGGGCCAGGUCCCCCCACCCCGAGACUGUUCCCCCGCCGCAGCCUGAACGUUAAUAUAUAUGUAAAUAUCUGUCACCUUUUAACCGCCUUUGAUACUUCAAUAAACUCCCCGAUUAAUUCUUUUAACC